UGGGGAAUCUUGCGCAAUGGGCGGAAGCCUGACGCAGCAACGCCGCGUGCGGGAAGAAGGCCUUAGGGUCGUAAACCGCUUUCAGGGGGGACGAAGCUUCCGGGGUUAAUAGCCUACGGGGUGACGGUACUCCCAGAAGAAGGUCCGGCUAACUACGUGCCAGCAGCCGCGGUAAUACGUAGGGACCGAGCGUUGUCCGGAAUCAUUGGGCGUAAAGAGCGUGUAGGCGGCCUGGUAGGUCUCGUGUGAAAGCCCGCGGCUCAACCGCGGAUCCGCACGGGAAACCCCCAGGCUCGAGUCCGGAAGAGGAGAGUGGAAUUCCAGGUGUAGCGGUGAAAUGCGCAGAUAUCUGGAAGAACACCCGUAGCGAAGGCGGCUCUCUGGGACGGUACUGACGCUG
rnacentral:rRNA from 1 species